CACACACACACACACACACACACACACACACACACACACACACACACACACACACACACACACACACACACACACACACACACACACACACACACACACACACAGUGCAUAAAACACAGAUACAAAUGUGCAUAUAAAGAAUGCAUUAACUGAUUCUGACACACAUACACACAAAGAACAUACAGUGCAUUUGGAAAGUAUUCAGAUCCCUUGACUUUUUCCACAUUUUGUUACGUUACAGCCUUAUUCUAAAAUUGUUUAAAUCGUUUUUUCCCCUCAGGUUUUUCGACUAUUUCGCUAAUUUAUUACAAAUAAAAAAAUACUUAAGUAUUCAGACCCUCUACUCAGUACUUUGAAGCAUCUUUGGCAGUGAUUAAAGCCUUGAGUCUUCUUGGGUACGACUCUACAAGCUUGGCAUACCUGUAUUUGGGGAGUUUCUCCCAUUUUACUCUGCAGAUCCUCUUAUUCUCAAGCUCUGUCCGGUUGGAUGGGUUUCGUCGCUGCACAGCUAUUUUCAUGUCUCUCCAGAGAUGUUUGAUCAGGUUCAAGUCCGGGCUCUGGCUGGGCCACUCAAGGACAUCUCAGAGACUUGUCCCGAAGCCACUUCUGCUGUGUGCUUAGGGUCGUUGUCCUGUUGGAAGGUGAACCUUCACCCCUGUGUGAGGUCCUGAGCACUCUGGAGCAGGUUUACAUCAAAGAUCUCUCUAUACUUUGCUCCGUACAUCUUUCCUUCGAUCCUGACUAGUCUCCCAGUCCCUGCCCCUGAAAAACAUCCCCACAGCAUGAUGCUGGCACCACCAUACUUGACCAUAGGGAUGGUGCCAGAUUUCUUCCAGAUGUGACGCUUGGCAUUCAGGUCAAAGAGUUCAAUCUUGGUUUCAUCAGAAGUAGCAGAGAAUCUUGUUUCUCAUUGUCAGAGUCCUUUUGGAGAAUUCCAAGCGGGCUGUCAUGUGCCUUUUACUGAGGAGUGGUUUCUGUCUAGCCACUCUACCAUAAAGGCUAGAUUGGUGGAGUGCUGCAGAGAUGGUUGUCCUUCUGUAAGUUUCUCUUAUCCCCACAGAGGAACUCUGGAGAUCUGUCAGAGUGACCAUUGGGUUCUUGGCCACCUCCCUGAUCAAGGCCUUUCUUCCCCUGAUUGCUCAGUUUGGCCGGGCGGCCAGCUCUAGGAAGAGUCUUGGUGGUUCCAAACUUCUUCCAUUUAAGAAUGAAGGAGGUCACUGUGACCUUCAAUGCUGCAGACAUUUUUUGGUACCUUUCCCCAGAUCUGUGCCUCGACACAAUCCUGUCUCGGAGCUCUACGGACAAUUCCUUCAACCUCAUUGCUUGGUUUGUUUUCUGACAUGAACGGUCAACAUUGGGACCUUAUAUAGACAGGCGUGUGCCUUUCCAAAUCAUGUCCAAUUAAUUGAAUUUUACCACAGGUGGACUCCAAUCAAAUUGUAGAAACAUCUCAAGGAUGAACAAUGGAAACAGGAUGCACCUGAGCUCAAUUUCGAGUCUCAUAGCAAAGGGUCUGAAAACGUAUGUAAAUAGGGGAUUUCUGUUUAUUAUUAUUUUUUAAUUUGCAAUUUGUUAUUUAAUUAAUUUUAGAAAAGGGCUGUAACGUAACAAAAUGUAGAAAGUUUAGGGGUCUGAAUACUUUCCGAAUGCACUGUAUACUGUGUACAAAACAAACAUUAGGGGUACUUCCAAUUGUCUGACUGAAGUUGAUAAUGAGUGCAUGCUGUCGGGAAACCGAUGGAAACAGUUGGAUCCUUGAUCACGGCAUCUUUCCAAAGGACACAAUAAACAGACAAAACUAAAACAAGAACCAGAAAACCGAGAAGUAUCUCCGUUCCAUGUUUGUCUGUCUGUGCUUUUGGGGUCCGAAGAAAGAAGGGAUUCAAAGUGUCCAGCAGACCAGCUGCUGACAUGUGUAACCCAUAGAGUCCCCUCUCAAGAGUAGGAGUCCCAGUCUAUGGUACACAAGAGGUCUAUUCUAUUCCCAGAGCACACAGUAAGUCUCUGAGCGGGAUUCAGGCUCCAGCCAAAACACCCUUCACCCUCAAACAGAAACACACAGAUCAUUCAUUACAAGCCUUAUGUGUGGGUGUCAGCUUUUGUGGCUUUUGUGCUAGGAUUGUGUGCAUGUAUGACGUGUGUGUGUGUGCGGCGUGCAUGUAUCCAUUACUGCAUGUGUGUGAGUUUGUGCACACGCGCAUGACUAAUAUUGCUGUGGUGUUCAUGUAUUACAGAGCAAGAAUAUGCCUGUAAUAUGCCUGAAGAAGAGAGGAUGAGAGAACGGAAGAGUCUGUUGAGAGAUUGUUUUCUUCUAUGGAAUGUGGUGAAUCGUGUAGGUGCUGUUUUUGGCUUUGCAGAGUAAAUCCCAGUCCAGGGUAGUCCUCUCCAGGACGUCCACCAGUUUCUCCAGCUUGGUGUUGGCCGUGAAGAUGAAGUCAUCGUCCACCCACAGCACAUACUUGGUAGUCACCUGGGAAACAGCUAGGUUCCGUCCUGCAAACCAGCCCUAGUUGUUGUG